rnacentral:rRNA from 1 species
UACGGGGGGGGCAAGCGUUGUUCGGAAUUACUGGGCGUAAAGGGCUCGUAGGCGGCCAACUAAGUCGGAUGUGAAAUCCCCAGGCUCAACCUGGGAACUGCAUCCGAUACUGGAUGGCUUGAAUUCGGGAGAGGGAUGCAGAAUUCCAGGUGUAGCGGUGAAAUGCGUAGAUAUCUGGAGGAAUACCGGUGGCGAAGGCGGCAUCCUGGACCAGCACUGACACUGAGGCACGAAAGCGAGUGG